UACGUAGGGGGCCAGCGUUGUCCGGAUUCAUUGGGCGUAAAGCGCGCGCAGGCGGCCGCUCGAGUCGCACGUGAAAUCUCCCGGCUCAACCGGGAGGGGACGAGCGAGACUGGGUGGCUGGAGGUCGGUAGGGGGAAGCGGAAUUCCCGGUGUAGUGGUGGAAUGCGUAGAGAUCGGGAGGAACACCAGUGGCGAAGGCGGCUUCCUGGACCGAACCUGACGCUGAGGCGCGAAAGCGUGGGGAGCGAUCCGG
rnacentral:rRNA from 1 species